UUCCCUCAGGAUAGCUGGAGCCCAUUACGAGUUCUAUCAGGUAAAGCCAAUGAUUAGAGGCAUUGGGGACGCAACGUCCUCGACUUUUUCUCAAACUUUAAAUAGGUAGGAUGGCUCGGCUGCUUCGGUGAGCCGUGCCACGGAAUCGGGUGCUCCAAGUGGGCCAUUUUUGGUAAGCAGAACUGGCGAUGCGGGAUGAACCG
rnacentral:ncRNA from 1 species